rnacentral:rRNA from 1 species
CCUGAUGCAGCCAUGCCGCGUGUGUGAAGAAGGCCUUCGGGUUGUAAAGCACUUUCAGUUGUGAGGAAAAGUUAGUAGUUAAUACCUGCUAGCCGUGACGUUAACAACAGAAGAAGCACCGGCUAACUCCGUGCCAGCAGCCGCGGUAAUACGGAGGGUGCGAGCGUUAAUCGGAAUUACUGGGCGUAAAGCGCACGCAGGCGGUUUGUUAAGCUAGAUGUGAAAGCCCCGGGCUCAACCUGGGAUGGUCAUUUAGAACUGGCAGACUAGAGUCUUGGAGAGGGGAGUGGAAUUCCAGGUGUAGCGGUGAAAUGCGUAGAUAUCUGGAGGAACAUCAGUGGCGAAGGCGACUCCCUGGCCAAAGACUGACGCUCAUGUGCGAAAGUGUGGGUAGCGAACAGGAUUAGAUACCCUGGUAGUCCACACCGUAAACGCUGUCUACUAGCUGUGUGUGUCUUUAAGACGUGCGUAGCGAAGCUUACGCGCUAAGUA